rnacentral:rRNA from 1 species
UACGUAGGGUGCAAGCGUUGUCCGGAAUUAUUGGGCGUAAAGAGCUCGUAGGCGGUUUGUCGCGUCUGCUGUGAAAACUCGGGGCUCAACCCCGAGCUUGCAGUGGGUACGGGCAGACUAGAGUGUGGUAGGGGAGACUGGAAUUCCUGGUGUAGCGGUGAAAUGCGCAGAUAAUCAGGAGGAACACCGAUGGCGAAGGCAGGUCUCUGGGCCAUAACUGACGCUGAGAAGCGAAAGCAUGGGGAGCGAACAGG